UACGUAGGGUGCAAGCGUUGUCCGGAAUUAUUGGGCGUAAAGAGCUUGUAGGCGGUUUGUCGCGUCUGCUGUGAAAAUCCGGGGCUCAACCCCGGACUUGCAGUGGGUACGGGCAGACUAGAGUGUGGUAGGGGAGACUGGAAUUCCUGGUGUAGCGGUGGAAAUGCGCAGAUAUCAGGAGGAACACCGAUGGCGAAGGCAGGUCUCUGGGCCAUUAACUGACGCUGAGGAGCGAAAGCAUGGGGAGCGAACAGG
rnacentral:rRNA from 1 species